rnacentral:rRNA from 1 species
AUGAAGAGGGCAGGAAAAAUUGCUUCCCUUUUUGCGAGACAUGCUCAGAAGAGAAGGAAGAAAGCUAGUACGCCGGAUGUGCAUGGGACCGCGGAUGUGGCCGAAGAGCAAACCAGAGAAUUUGUGGUUCAAGAGCAAACUCAAGAAACAGUGGUGUCUAUGUCAAAUGUCACGGUUGAGCAAACUCCAGAACCAAUGGUUCGACUUGAAGAUGUCUCAACGCCACCGCCGGUUUAUGAUUUUAGCCGUCUUAAACAUGAUCCCGGGGAAAGGCCACCCAUUGCAAGUUAUCCUGUCAAUGAUCAAGACGCAGUUCGGAGAGCAUAUAUCCUUAAGGCUGCAUUCAAACCUUAUGCACAUAACUUUGAAGCAAGAAUAAUUGGGAAUAGGUUUCGAUCAUUCAGUCCUUUUUGGCUUCAUAAACAUAGUUGGCUUGAAUAUAGUAUCAAGGAGAAAGCUGCAUUUUGCUUUGUAUGCUUCUUGUUCAAAGAGAAAGAAACUAGUGGGAAGGGAACUAAUGCAUUUACUGAUGGUGGUUGGAGAAAUUGGAAUAGAUAUGAUGCUCUUGAUAAGCAUGUUGGUGGUGUAACAAGUGUGCACAAUGCAGCUCAAGAGAAAUAUGACUUAUUUGUGAAUCCCCGUGCAACAAUUAAUGAUCUUCUUGUGAAGGUGGAUAGUGAGGAUCUACGUCUUUAUAGGAUGAGGUUGAAGUAUUCACUUAGAUGCUUGUAG